CCUACGGGUGGCUGCGGUGGGGAAUAUUGGACAAUGGGGGGAACCCUGAUCCAGCCAUGCCGCGUGUGUGAAGAAGGCCCUCGGGUUGUAAAGCACUUUCAGUGAGGAAGAACGCCUGGUGGUUAAUACCCAUCAGGAAAGACAUCACUCACAGAAGAAGCACCGGCUAACUCCGUGCCAGCAGCCGCGGUAAUACGGAGGGUGCGAGCGUUAAUCGGAAUUACUGGGCGUAAAGCGCGCGUAGGUGGCUUGAUAAGCCGGUUGUGAAAGCCCCGGGCUCAACCUGGGAACGGCAUCCGGAACUGUCCAGCUAGAGUGCCGGAGAGGAAGGUAGAAUUCCCGGUGUAGCGGUGAAAUGCGUAGAGAUCGGGAGGAAUACCAGUGGCGAAGGCGGCCUUCUGGACUGACACUGACACUGAGGUGCGAAAGCGUGGGUAGCAAACAGGAUUAGAUACCCGGGUAGUC
rnacentral:rRNA from 1 species